GGAAAAAGAAAAAGCCCCAGAAGGUGAGUAUUCACUAUACUUUUGUGCAAGUACAUGCAUAAAUGAUAAAAAGGGAGUGCCAUGUGAUUUAUGAGUUUUAAGAACUUACACAUCUCUGACGAGAGGCCUUCUAUAUAUGAGACUUUGGCUUGGUUGAGUCCUGUUCUUUUCUUUCAUAGAUUUUCCUUUUUUCCCUAUUCUUUUGGGUUGUUGCAACAAGUUAAAAAGAAGAUGUACAAGUUUUUAUGCAUGUUGUCAAUAAUGGGUAGGGGUGAAACUAGAUGUAUUUUAUCCGAUAUAUUUUAUCCAAUGCAAUCAGGACUGGACAUACGUUUGGUUCUUGCUAUCUUUACCUUAUCCUACCUCUCCUUUUCUUAUUCUUUUACUUGUAGUCUUCCUUUUAAUAUCAGAACUCUUCUCCAUUCCAGCAUAGUGGCUAAGGUUAGUUUUUCUGAUUUCCUUGUAUGCUUGUGCAUGUGAUUUUUAUGCUGGACAAACCAUGAAAGCUGUUUAGGAAUAAUUUGGACAUUUUCCGUUUAGUGCCGAUGAGAUGUUAACUGAUUUAAUUGAUAAGUGGGGUAUGAUUUGGAUAGAUGAUUAUGUUGGCUGUCAAGGUAUAACUUUUUAGAAGUGAUGUAACACUGAGUGGAAGUAGGUCUUGGUGGAAAUUCCUGACAUGCUAAUUGUUGUUUUAGAUUUAUAAGUCUCUGUUUUUGAGCUUUUCCCUAGUCCUGGUUUGCGAAUGUCUUCUUGCCUUGGAUUGCAGUAGUCUAGCUUGAUACUGGGGCUAAAUUUGCUGGUUGACACAGGAAUAUGU
rnacentral:misc_RNA from 1 species